rnacentral:rRNA from 1 species
CCAGACUCCUACGGGAGGCAGCAGUGAGGAAUAUUGGUCAAUGGGCGAGAGCCUGAACCAGCCAAGUCGCGUGAGGGAAGACGGCCCUACGGGUUGUAAACCUCUUUUGUCAGGGAGCAAGAACAGAUACGUGUAUCUGAGCGAGAGUACCUGAAGAAAAAGCAUCGGCUAACUCCGUGCCAGCAGCCGCGGUAAUACGGAGGAUGCGAGCGUUAUCCGGAUUUAUUGGGUUUAAAGGGUGCGUAGGCGGGCUCCCAGGUCGGCGGUAAAAUUGCGGGGCUCAACCCCGUCGAGCCGUUGAAACUGGGGAUCUAGAGUGUGCGAGAGGUAUGCGGAAUGCGUGGUGUAGCGGUGAAAUGCAUAGAUAUCACGCAGAACCCCGAUUGCGAAGGCAGCAUACCGGUGCACAACUGACGCUCAGGCACGAAAGCGUGGGUAUCGAACAGGAUUAGAUACCCGCGUAU